rfam:TPA: Bos taurus chromosome 28, whole genome shotgun sequence.
CCUCUGGUGGUCCAGUGUUAGGACUCUGUACUUCUGCUGCAGGGGGCCUGGGUUUGAUCCCUGGGCAGGGAA